ACCAGGCAACAGUGAGAAAGCAGAAAAAAAGGCCGAGCGAGCGAGCGAACGGACGGACGGGUUCCUCGAGCAGACUGGCGCAGCGCGCGGAUCGAGGGACAUUGCGCAAUGUUACGUGGGUACUGUAGUCACGGACCGAGCAGCGGUGAAGAACAGGUGCACUGCAACUUCCUCCAGCGCUGCGGAGAGAGCGAGAGCGAGAGAGAGAGAGAGAGAGAGAGAGAGAGAGAGAGAGAGAGUCACAGGAAUGUUCCCAUGAAAAUAGCAGAUGUUCGAGAGUGGCUUAUGAUGAUGAAGUGCUGGACAGCAUCAUCAUUAUUUGAUCCAUACCUACUCAGUGCUACUCACAACAUCACUUAAGUGUCCAACCCAGACUGGCAGAAGGCCUGUAGGGGGAUGUUUUCCUGGGGUAGGUGGAACACAGAUGCGCGGCAGUUCUUGCAUUGCUGGGAGAGGAGAUGGCUGACUACCUUUUGGCUUGGAGGCACCAUUAACCAAUUUGCUAUCCAGAUGUCCAUCAGUGAGCAGUGGCCAGCUUUGUGCCAGUCUGAGCAGUCCAGACACAUACAUCUGGGCAAGACCAUUACAUUCACAGUCUCAGACUCAACCCCCACACACAAUCUGUUAUUUUUUCGUCUGAGAAUCCAAAAACAUGCCUGAGUAUGACUGAGGGAUUUUUUUUUAUAAGUGUUACCUAUAGUGUGAAGUGUUUUUUUCUUAUUUUUUUCUUUACUUUAUAAGUGUAGUAUACUUCAUAGCAGGGAGAACCUUUCUAGUAUCUUUUUUUGGUCAAAACAGAACAUUUUUCAUAAUCGUCAUAUUUUUUCAUAUGGCAAUUUUAGUUCCGUUCCUCGAUUCUGAUCAGCAGCGUUCCAGGAGCGCUCAAGGGGCGAUUACACUACACUUUUUGCUUCAUUCAUACAAAUGCAGAGUUGGCCACUUAAAAGGCUAUCUCAAUCGCAAAAUCCUUCCAGUGCCCUGGAAUGUUGAUCCCUUAAAAAAAAUCCUACAAUGCACUGCAAAAACUAUGAAGUAUUAAUAAUACAUCACAUUUUGCUUGUUGUCAUGUCACCAGAAAUGGAGUCUUCAGUGUCCCAAUGUGUAGUGAGCCAGGUUCUUACAAUUCAUCAUGAUAUUCAGGUUAAUGAUGUAGGGAGCCCACUGUUUUCAUGAGGGAAUCACUGAAUCAUUCACUCAACCAAUUUGUUCAGAAACAUUCGUUUUGAAACAAGUGACUGCAUUUAUUCCAUCAUUGAAUCAGUUAUUCUCCAAUUUGUUGAAAAACUUUGAUUCAUUCAAAAACUUAACUAGUUUUGUAUCGCUCAGAGACAUGCAGUGGUUUAUUUUGCUGUGACUUUGUUUGGAACUAUUUUCAUUGCCGGAGCGAAAAAUUGACAGUAUUUUUUUUGUAAAGCAAGUCACAUCAAAUUCUUGUUUAUUGAAUUAUUAUUGUAAAUAAGUAUUCUUGGUAACACUUUAUUUUAGGGUCUUUGAACUAGUUGCUUAUUAGCAUGCAUAUUACUAGAAUAUUGGCCGUUUAUUA